rnacentral:rRNA from 1 species
AUAUCAGUAAGCGGAGGAAAAGAAACUAGCAAGGAUUGCCCCAGUAGCGGCGAGUGAACAGGCAAAAGCUCAAAGUGGAAAUCCAGCGGCACGAGGCCGUCGGAAUUGUAAUCUAGAGAGUCAAUGCGAAGGCGUGGCAGCGUCGCGUGAGUCCCUUGGAACAGGGCGCCAAAGAGGGUGAUAGCCCCAUACGCAGCGACGCCGGCCGUACGCAAAGGCCAUCC